CAGCAGCCGCGGGAAUACGAAGGGUGCAAGCGUUAAUCGGAAUUACUGGGCGUAAAGCGUGCGUAGGCGGUGAGUUAAGUCUGCUGUGAAAUCCCCGGGCUCAACCUGGGAAUGGCAGUGGAUACUGGCUCGCUAGAGUGUGUCAGAGGAUGGUGGAAUUCCCGGUGUAGCGGUGAAAUGCGUAGAGAUCGGGAGGAACAUCAGUGGCGAAGGCGGCCAUCUGGGACAACACUGACGCUGAGGCACGAAAGCGUGGGGAGCAAACAGGAUUAGAUACCCCUCGUAGUCCCUGUCUCUUAUA
rnacentral:rRNA from 1 species